rnacentral:lncRNA from 1 species
CUGGAAGAGUCAGGUCGGUAUGGUCAUUUUGUCUGGAAACGGCCCGGCCCUGCUGGGACUUGGCAUGAUCUGGAAGGGCUAUUUAUGGGGACAGCUCACAGGUGACAGGGAAUAAACAACUGCUGCAUGAAUGUUUCCAUUCUCUCCUGCCUGGGAAAGAGGGGCUUUACCACGUCACCUGCUUCCCGACCCUUUCUCCAGAGUGUGUCGUGUGGGCUCUGGUGUUGCAGAAUCAGGAGGAGCGCGGAGAGAAGGAGAAGGGGUGUGUGGCUACAGCCGGAAGAGGAGUUUGGGAAGCAGGAAUGUGGAAGAGAAGAGGUCCAGGAUCUGAUGUGGACCCGGAGCUCGAACAAGUUCUACAUGUUUGUCUUGCCGCUGAUCUGUGAGCUCUUCAAGAUAGGACAUGUCUUAGUCAUACUUGUUUCUUCCACCUAA